rnacentral:pre_miRNA from 7 species
GUCCCCAAAGAGUUCCACCAACUGUGACUGUAAGACCUCCUUUCGGGGACCCCCACUCUAGUCUCAAGAGUGAGAGAGCACCCAAAGAAACACGAGAAUCC